GCCAGGAUGGCUGAGUGGACUAAAGCACGAGACUGUAAAUCUCGCGCCGUAAGGCUUCCUAGGUUCGAAUCCUAGUCCUGGCA
rnacentral:tRNA from 1 species